UCUUUUAGUUGAUUUCCUAAGUUUUAUCGCAUUUCAUAAUUUCCUUCUUGUUUUAUGUUGUAUUAGUGGUUCAUCUCUUUUUGUCGCAUUUUAUGCGUUUCCGUGGUAAAACACUUUGUUCUUUCUUUUAGUUGAUUUCCUAAGUUUUAUCGCAUUUCAUAAUUUCCUUCUUGUUUUAUGUUGUAUUAGUGGUUCAUCUCUUUUUGUCGCAUUUUAUGCGUUUCCGUGGUAGUUC
rnacentral:lncRNA from 1 species